UACGAAGGGGGCUAGCGUUGCUCGGAAUCACUGGGCGUAAAGGGUGCGUAGGUGGAUUAGUAAGUCAGUGGUGAAAUCUCCGGGCUUAACCCGGAAACUGCCAUUGAUACUAUUAGUCUUGAAUACCGUGGAGGUCAGCGGAAUAUGUCAUGUAGCGGUGAAAUGCUUAGAUAUGACAUAGAACACCAAUUGCGAAGGCAGCUGGCUACACGAGCAUUGACACUCAGGCACGAAAGCGUGGGGAUCAAACAGG
rnacentral:rRNA from 1 species